UAAUGUGAGGGUGAUCUGGCUUCGACAUCUGUCACCCCAUUGAUCGCCAGGGUUGAUUCAGCUGAUCUGGCUGGCUAGGCGGGUGUCCCCUUCCUCCCUCACCGCUCCAUGUGUGUCCCUCCCGAAGCUGCGCGCUUGGUCAAAGAAGACGACCUUCCCCGAUACAGACGGUUCCGUUCAUCGGUCGAGGGUAUAUGGUAGCUGCGCUCCCCUGAAAGCUCAAGGUCCAUUUGUGGGAGAGAGAAAGUAGGGUAGUCAAGCUUCCAAGACUCCAUUCACAUCCAAGUGAGGCACUGCAUGGGGCAAUCUGCCAUUGUUU
rnacentral:snRNA from 1 species